rnacentral:rRNA from 1 species
GACGAACCGUGCGAACGUUGUUCGGAUUCACUGGGCUUAAAGGGCGCGUAGGCGGGCGGUCAAGUCCGGGGUGAAAUCUUCCGGCCCAACCGGAAAAUGGCCCGGGAUACUGGCCGCCUUGAGGGGGGUAGGGGCAUGCGGAACUUCCGGUGGAGCGGUGAAAUGCGUAGAUAUCGGAAGGAACGCCGGCGGCGAAAGCGGCGUGCUGGACCCCCCCUGACGCUGAGGCGCGAAAGCCAGGGGAGCAAACGGG